rnacentral:rRNA from 1 species
UGAGGAAUAUUGGUCAAUGGGCGAGAGCCUGAACCAGCCAAGUAGCGUGAAGGAUGACUGCCCUAUGGGUUGUAAACUUCUUUUAUAAAAGAAUAAAGUCGGGUAUGGAUACCCGUUUGCAUGUACUUUAUGAAUAAGGAUCGGCUAACUCCGUGCC